GCAGCCUCUCCUAGGCUAGUCCUCGGCGUGGAUCCGAGGCCGCCCAGCCCUGGCGCUAAAAGCGGGCCGCCCGUCAGGGCUUUGUUCCAGGCCAAGGAAGCCCAUGGAGGCCGGGCCAGCCGACAGGUAACCCGCACAGAAACUUUCAGAAGGCGGCCACAACUAGAGGGCAGUGCUAGGUUUAUAAAACCUCCGCACUAGGAGUUUGAGAAAUGCCGGGGUAGAAGACAAGAAGCAGUCACUUUUGCGAGUGCAGAGUAGCAUUCAGAAAGGCAGAUGGGAUAUCCAGGAGGCGCCUGCAGACGUUUCUGGCCCCUGCGCUUGGCUCAGUUAGCGGACCCCCUGAUGCCCACGCUGGUCUCUACUAAGCACGGAUUCAACAGGUCCCUGGUGUCGGGUUGCCAGAUUUGGCAAAAGAAAAGUAUCCUGAUGUGCAGACUCGAGUGCAGGCAGAAUUGGAUCAGGUCGUGGGGAGGGACCGUCUGCCUUGUAUGGGUGACCAGCCCAACCUGCCCUAUGUCCUGGCCUUCCUUUAUGAAGCCAUGCGCUUCUCCAGCUUUGUGCCUGUCACUAUUCCUCAUGCCACCACUGCCAACACCUCUGUCUUGGGCUACCACAUUCCCAAGGACACUGUGGUUUUUGUCAACCAGUGGUCUGUGAAUCAUGACCCAGUGAAGUGGCCUAACCCGGAGAACUUUGAUCCAGCUCGAUUCUUGGACAAGGACGGCUUCAUCAACAAGGACCU
rnacentral:sRNA from 1 species